rnacentral:rRNA from 1 species
GAUGAACGCUGGCGGCGUGCCUAAUCCAUGCAAGUCGAACGGAGACGGUAGCAAUACUGUCUUAGUGGCGAACGGGUGAGUAACGCGUUGGUGACCUGCCCCGAAGUGGGGGAUAACAGCUCGAAAGGGCUGCUAAUACCCCAUGUGGUCGCGAAGGUUAGAGGCUUUGCGAUUAAAGGAGUAAUCCGCUUUGGGAGGGGCCUGCGUCCCAUCAGCUAGUUGGUAGGGUAAAAGCCUACCAAGGCGACGACGGGUAGGGGACCUGAGAGGGUGACCCCCCACACUGGCACUGAAACACGGGCCAGACACCUACGGGAGGCAG